GACGAACGCUGGCGGCGUGCUUAACACAUGCAAGUCGAACGAUGAAGCCCAGCUUGCUGGGUGGAUUAGUGGCGAACGGGUGAGUAACACGUGGGCAACCUGCCCCAAACUCUGGGAUAACUCCUCGAAAGAGGUGCUAAUACCGGAUACGAACUAGGUAGACAUCUGCACUAGUUGGAAAGUUUUUCGGUUUGGGAUGGGCCCGCGGCCUAUCAGCCUGUUGGUGAGGUAACGGCUCACCAAGGCUACGACGGGUAACCGGCCUGAGAGGGGGACCGGUCACACUGGGACUGAGACACGGCCCAGACUCCUACGGGAGGCAGCAGUGGGGAAUAUUGCGCAAUGGGCGAAAGCCUGACGCAGCGACGCCGCGUGAGGGAUGAAGGUCUUCGGAUCGUAAACCUCUUUCAGUAGGGACGAAGCGAAAGUGACGGUACCUAAAGAAGAAGCACCGGCUAACUACGUGCCAGCAGCCGCCGUAA
rnacentral:rRNA from 1 species